GCUUGAUUAGUUUAGGACAGAACAUUUCUCUUCCAAAGAAAGAGCACCUGGUAAGGUAUCAAGUA
rnacentral:tRNA from 1 species